ACCUUAUCUCUUUCGGAUGCAACCUCUCACCCUCUCUUUUCCUCUCAUUUUCCCCCUCUUUCCUCUCUCUCAAUCUCUCCUCUAUCCCAAUCCAAAAAGAGGAGGUGGCGGCAUGACGGAGGUGGGCAUGAAGGGGGUGACGGCAUGGGGCAGCUGGCACAAACGUGGAGGACAGGAGGCCAGACGCCGUCCUCGAAGCGUGACUGGGAAGGACCUGGAGGCAGAGAGGGAGAUGGAGGGGAGCAUGGAGUGGAAGGACCGGAUCCACAAGUGGAAGACCAAGCAGGAGAAGAGGGGCAAACUCAACCACGAUGACAGUGAUGACGAUGACAAAGAACGACGAUGAGUACAUGCUGCUGGCGAAGGCACGAUAGCCGCUGUAGCACAAGGUGCCGAUCCCAUCGAGCAAGAUUAGCCCAUUUGUGUAGCUGAAUUAUGAGUGUUAGUUCGAAUUUUUUGUAAUUUUUUUAAAUCUGGUUUGAAUAACUUGAUUUGUGGCAUAAAGGGAGAAGAAUAUCAUAUGAUUGUU